rnacentral:lncRNA from 1 species
AGAGUAAUUUUAUGGAUGGAAAGAAAAGUAAUAUACGGUUAAAUACUUUGUAAGUGACAUACAGGAAAGAUAGCAGUGCCAAUUACGUCCUAAUACCUUUGUCAUCGUCUGUGCUGUGUGCUGCCCAGAAUGAAUGCACUGGCAUAAUUUAGCAUCUUCCGUGGCCGUGAGCUCUGUGGUCCCCUCUGCAUUGUCCGAGGAUGGAAAUUAAUAGGACAUGCUCCCCGCUCUUUCGGCUUCUGCUGAGCUCAAGAUUGUCAGGCCGCCUCCGCGCCAGCAAAGAAGCGAAGAAUGGACACACUGGACCUAAAUGAAGCCCUCUUCCUUGAACACCAGGGCAGAAGCCGAAGGCGAUGCCAGCCUCCGUGGGAUGAGACUCCCCCUCUUGGGGUUAUGGCAGGAGAGAGACCAAGAAUCAUCGCGUUGGGCUGAUGGACGCAUUCCACCACGGUCACGAGUUCUGUGGUUGCAUCUCCGUGUCAAGAACGUAGGGAACAAUAAUGGACGUGCUUGUGCUGAUUUAGGGAUUCUUCCAGAAUCACAAGCUGUAUGGUUGCGUCUUUGUAUCAGGAGCGUGGAGAACAUCAACGGCCGCAUCAAACUGAUCUUAGGUUCUGCCGCAGUCAAGAUUAUGUUGCCUAAUGUGUUGUCUACCAUGGACCAUUAGCAGAUGCUGAAAAGAGAACAGGAUAAAUGCGCUGGAGUAGAUUUAAGCAUCUCCCAUGGUCAGGGGCUCUUUGGACGCGUCUGUGUUAGGAGCCUCAAGACCCGUAACAGUCCGUCUUGUGCUGAUUUUAGCACUCUGCCCUGGCCUCAUACUCAGUGGUUUCUUAGGAGCGUGGAGAUCGUAACGGACAGGCGCUGAUAAUCAUGCCGCAAUGAUCAAGACCCACAUGGUUCAAGGAUGUGUGCCCCACAGCUGAUUAAAUUAUUCCCCAGUCAUGGAGAGCCGCCACCUUGUUCCUCGGAGAAAGGGCCAUGUCAUGUCAUGUGAGUAAUAAAGUUCUUGGUUUGGGUGGGGAGCGCCCGGGCUUCUAUGGAAUCAUUAAAAAAGAGGAAAUGUACUUAAACGUGUCCAUGUCAUGCAUAGAGCAUGCGCGGAUGAGCAUGUGCUGGGAACCAGCAUUUAUGAUGAAUGCAAUUUAGCACAGACGAGGCCCCCGAUGACCCCGUAGCUUUCCUUUGUUUCAAAACGGAAGCAUCUCAUUUUAUGUUUGUCGCAUUGGUUAUUUAAACAUCCUCCUCUUGAUAAAAACCCAGGCAGCUGCUCAUUUAGGGAGUCGGUACUCGGUUGUGGAGUAAGAUGGCAGGUUCACGGCUGUUCUUUGUAACGUCUGAAACUUGUUCGAAUUAAAUGCGGAAGGGGCACGCCUGGACCAAUGAUGUAAAGGGAAUGCAUCUGAAUAAAAAUUAUGAUCAGUCAUGUUUGAACCACUGAGGUCCAC